rnacentral:rRNA from 1 species
GUGCCNGCAGCCGCGGUAAUACGGAGGAUCCAAGCGUUAUCCGGAAUCAUUGGGUUUAAAGGGUCCGUAGGCGGUCAGGUAAGUCAGUGGUGAAAGCCCAUCGCUCAACGGUGGAACGGCCAUUGAUACUGUCUGACUUGAAUUAUUAGGAAGUAACUAGAAUAUGUAGUGUAGCGGUGAAAUGCUUAGAGAUUACAUGGAAUACCAAUUGCNAAGGCAGGUUACUACUAAUGGAUUGACNCUNAUGGACGAAAGCGUGGGUAGCGAACANGAUUAGAUACCCUGGUAGUCCACNNCNUAAAC